UUGAAAGUAGGACUUACACCCCACGUGACGUUUCACGCAAGUGCCCGAACCGUCUGAGCAAGUGCCCUGCAAAACAAAACUUGUAUUGUUUACACUCCGUGAAAGCAAUGAACACAGACAGCAUGCAGACAUGCAUCAUGUCACUGAUAAUUUCCAUGAAAAAUCUAUCAGGUUGUGUGGAGGAGCCAGACAGAAUUACACAGAUCCAAGUGGAGCCAGGUUAGGUAGAGCUCUCAGGUUAAACAUCCUUCUGACUUCGAGCCAUAUGGAACUCCCAGGUCUUAUGACUUGGAGCCAGAGUAGGUGGAGCCGUCACCCUCAUGCUAAACAUCCUUAUAACUUGGAGCCAUGUAGAGCUCUUGGUUUAUACAUCCUUCUGACUCUUGGAGCCAGGUUACAUUGAGUUCCUCUCUGCAGAUGCUUUUGAUUUGGGUCUGAUAAGCUGCCACGUUAAGUGCUCUGUCCACAUGGAGCUUCUUGGAGACAGGUUGGGAUUGCUUGAGAUGGCGUUUUAACCCGUGGAAAUAGUAGGAGUAAAGUCAACAACAUAGUCAGCAAUACAGUUGUUAUCACAUGGCAAUAGUAGGAGUAGAGUUAACAAUAUAGGAGGUGUUAUCACAUGGCAAUAGUGGGAGUAGAGUUAACAAUAUAGGAGGUGUUAUCACAUGGCAAUAGUGGGAGUAGAGUUAACAAUAUAGGAGGUUUUAUCACAUGGCGAUGGUAUGUUCAGCUAAAGGCAAUGGUAUUUCUCAAUACUGUUUUCACAAAGUCACACCAGGUACAUUGUUUCUAGUGUCCUUGACCUCUGUACGAAGGAAUCUGACACCUCAGGAAGAUGCACUUGACUCCAGCCACCGGCCACGGAGUUGGUGGUCACACUGCAGAUAUAUGUAUGUCCUAGUGGUUAGAGAUACUUCCAGAUCAGAUCCAUCCCCUUUACAUAGUUUUGAGUUGGUUUUGUUCCCAUGGCUUAAUUGUAUACAUGUUGUAUUAUGAUAUAUGGCCCAACCAUUAAGUAUUCGGAUGGUCAGGGUGGUUGGUGGGACAGCCUGGGAGGUUUCUUUGAAAUUAUUUUUUCGGUCACCGCUUUGAAACAUACCAUUCCCUCAAUAUUUCAUUGAGAACAUCAACCAUGUCAAGUGUACAAGUUUCCUCUUUAAGUUAAACAUAAACACAAUUUUUUCCAUUUAUUUUCUGGGACAAAUCAUUUUUUUCAAAAAACAUUCCAGGGUUCCCCCCAGAAUACUAAAUGAUCGGUCCCUUAUUUGAAUGAUGCUGUGCCAAAAGGUGUAAAUAGCCAGAUAACAAGCAUGAGUUGUAAUGUACUUUUAUCAUGACGGGUUCUGAAAGUGCAUAAUGAAUACAUGUGUUAAUCAAUGUGUGAAUGAGGAUAACCAAAUAAACUAUGUCUCACAAGAAUAACUUCUGUUGUGUGUCCAGUUCAAGGUUUUUGCAGAGAAUGAGCUUACCUGAAUUAGCAUUGUCAUUCACUCCUUCAGACCCUAUAUUUGUUUAUUCUGAGCUUACAAAUAUUUGGACCUUAUAGAUGAAAUGCACAAAACUUGUUUGAGCCAACAGGGGUAGACUCCAUUGGCCAUAUCCAACUAGUCCGCAGGUCAUUUCGGGCAAGGGGUUAUGUAAAAAAAAUAGAUUUUGGGAUAGUGAGUGAGUGAGUAGUUUUACAUCACUUUUAGCAAUAUUCCAGCAAUAUCACGCCGGGGACCCCACUCAUGGGCUUCACACAUUGUACCCAUGUUGGGAAUCGAACCCGGGUCUUUGGCGUGUCGAGCAAACGCCUUAACCUCUAGGCUUCCCCGACUGCCCCAGAUUUUGGGACAAAAAGCUACUAGUCUCAAACUGGUGUCUGUGUCUAUCCCUGGCCAAGUUGAAUAGGAAAACCCUCCAUAACCUAGAGUUCACUCCUAAUUUUUAUAACCUUGUAAAGGGUAGCACAGAACGACUUGAGGCCUGACACUACUCAUGCACAAAUCCAUGGUGAAUUUACAGGUAUGACAACACAUGUCUACAAAGUGGGACUGAGACAUAAUUUAUGUGGUGUGCGUGAGAGCGCCCCAACUGUCACCUCAAAUAACUAAGUUAAAUAUCACCGACAGCCCAGCCGCUGAUAAGCAGAACAGACCAGCUGAUAAAAUGCUUACAUUGUUAAUACUUGUAGCAAUGUUGUCAGUGGAAAGUUUUGUAUCAGGUUACUCAUACACAUAUAUAUUUCUUUUGUUAACAGCGUUGCAAAGGUUGUUAAGUGUCUUGUUUGGGCUUUAGUACUGUGACAAUGAGAUCUGAAUGUGUUGUUUAUAACUCUCCUAUCUGUACCAUGGCCCCAGACAACAAGUGCGCAGGCAUGUCGGUGUUCACAGCGGUUGGUGACGGUUGGUUACUGCAAUAUUUGCUGUAUCGAUUUUAGGAUCGGAUUGAUCAUUUGUAUUUCACUACAGAACCAACAAAGCUGACUUAUACCAAAUACUGAUGUGAAAAGUGAUAUAAUUCGUUGCGGCUGUAGGAUUGCCAAAUGGCUGUUUGCUGAUGUUUUAGUGCUAUUCAUACAGGUGUAUUUCACUCUAUAAUCUUCACCUUGAGGAGGACAGGACUCUUGAGGUUUGACUUGACUCGCGAACACGGACAAUACAACCAUUUCACACUCUUAUACAUGUUUAUACAUGUUCCAACUCAUUCACUUUUAGAUUGUCCCCUGAACAUGUAUAUAAAGCAGUAUGACCCAGUCUCGUUAUCUGAUGGCAUUCUUAUUCUGAACAAGGUUUACCUAGAUACCACAGUGGUUGUGACAGAGUUAACUCCCCUGAAUGAAAGGGUCAGGGUCAGGGUCAGGGUCAGCUCUGCUUGGGAUUAGAAUGACUGCCCCAAUUCUUUUAGUAUCAUGAUUAUGUGAAAGCCUUUAAGCUGAAAAUCAGAGACAUUCUCUUACAGACAUGUUUUUGCAAAAAAAUACAUCAACAGAAACAAUGGUAAACAACAUGAAAGUCAUAAGUUAUGAUAGUUGCUGUAGGUAAAAAUGGUCUGAAAGAUCGAAUAAAUGGACAUGAUUUUUGUUUGUGUCACACUUUUUAGUAAUGUCAUUAUUUUGCAUAAAUAAAAAUAUACAUUUUAUUGUUUUAUGAUUCUUAGAAACUUUCUUUGAAUCAAUGUUUUAUAUAACAACCUUAGUUUUGAAAAUGUAGCAUCACAAUAUGACAUUGCUGGCUGCUUGCAGAAAGACACUUAAAAUCUACACUCACUCACUCACUCAUUUGUUUAAUACUACUUUGGUGCCCAUUUGUUUGUUACCUUAAUUAAAUUUCCAAAGAUUUUAUCUAAAGUGUUGCAAAUCUUCCAGUAGAGACCAAACUGACUGGAACUUGGAACUUAAUAAAACUGAACGAAAAUGUAAUAGUGGUGAAUAUUUUUGUUUUGUUCACAAGAGACCAGCUACAAAUUCUGAGGAUUAGUGAAAAAAAGUUUAUGCAAGACCUUGUGAUGAGAAAAAAAUGAAUUUCUAAGGCUGAUUGUGAUGACACCGAAGUCACUAGCUUAGCCCCAUGGUUGCUAGUUGUGAUGACACCGCAGUGACCAAUGGCCACUAGCUCUGGUCACCAGCUUAGCCCCAUGGUUGCUAGUUGUGAUGACACCGCAGUGACCAAUGGCCACUAGCUCUGGUCACCAGCUUAGCCCCAUGGUUGCUAGUUGUGAUGACACCGCAGUGACCAAUGGCCACUAGCUCUGGUCACCAGCUUAGCCCCAGGUUCUGUGAUCACUUCUCUCACACCAGGUUCUAUUCCCAACAUGUAAAGUGAAUACAAUGCAUGUCCUAUGUCAUUGUAGCUGAAAGCUGCAGCCGUGCACACCCACCCACAUGCCACUAUAUCAGCUCAGUAAUGUCCAACACAAACGACCUUGCCCAUCUCCCAACAUGCUCAAGUUCUGAGAUUUCUGAGUUUUGUUUCCUGAGAAGGUUGAUUCGCUUCUUACACUCAGUGCUUGGAGCAAAGAAUAAGGCCAGUGUCCUUUUGAAAAGUAAAGUGCUGAAGCACGUAUUCGACAUAAUAAGCGCCCAGGGCGCUCUCAAAAUUUGAAAUAGGGGGCUCUUAUUAGAAUAACAUUUUGGAAAAAAAAAUAGAGUUGAAAGAUUGUAAAUUUCGUGGUUUAU